GACGAACGCUGGCGGCGUGCUUAACACAUGCAAGUCGAGCGGUAAGGCCCUUUCGGGGGUACACGAGCGGCGAACGGGUGAGUAACACGUGGGUGACCUGCCUCUAGCUCUGGGAUAAGCCUGGGAAGCUGGGUCUAAUACCGGAUAUGACCUCGCGGUGCAUGUUGCGGGGUGGAAAGCCUUGUGCGGCUAGGGAUGGGCCCGCGGCCUAUCAGCUUGUUGGUGGGGUGANGGCCUACCAAGGCGACGACGGGUAGCCGGCCUGAGAGGGCGACCGGCCACACUGGGACUGAGACACGGCCCAGACUCCUACGGGAGGCUAGCAGUGGGGAAUCUUGCGCAAUGGGCGAAAGCCUGACGCAGCGACGCCGCGUGAGGGAUGACGGCCUGG
rnacentral:rRNA from 1 species